UCCCUGGAGGUCCAGUGGUUAAGAGUCUGCAUUUCCACUGCAGGGGGCACAGGUUUGAUCCCUGGUCAGGGAA
rfam:Ovis aries breed Texel chromosome 3, whole genome shotgun sequence.